rnacentral:rRNA from 1 species
UACGAAGGGGGCUAGCGUUGUUCGGAAUCACUGGGCGUAAAGCGCACGUAGGCGGAUCUUUAAGUCAGAGGUGAAAUCCCAAGGCUCAACCUUGGAACUGCCUUUGAUACUGGGGAUCUUGAGUCCGGGAGAGGUGAGUGGAACUGCGAGUGUAGAGGUGAAAUUCGUAGAUAUUCGCAAGAACACCAGUGGCGAAGGCGGCUCACUGGCCCGGUACUGACGCUGAGGUGCGAAAGUGUGGGGAGCAAACAGG